UUUGUAUCUUUAAUUUGCAUGUGUUUAUAUCUAUUUAUUAACUUUUUGUUAACAUUAUAGACAUUAUCUAUAUACUUCCCAUAAUGGUUAAAUUCAGGAUCAGGCAUUUUUCAUCUCUUCCUAUAUUCUUGACUCUAGGGUGUUUGGGAAUUUCACAAGCAAUAUGUAAAUUCUUCAGGUCCUUCUAAUAAAAUUUAUAUUUGCCUUUUGCUGAUACUUCACAAAAAGAACAUAUGUCUUUAUCACAAAGCAACAUUAAGUACUCUAUUAGGUAUUUAUUCUUAAAGGUAGCUGAGUAGCCCAAAGCUGGUAGUCUGCUGGUUUGUCAAAGUUCUGUGGUCUAGGCUCAGUGACUAUUAUAGAAAUUCAUCCAGUGCCAUUCAACCAUUAUGCCUAUUUUACCUAAAAUUUUACUAUCAGUUGAAGCUCCAAAGCUGUCAAUAAAAGAGGAUAAUUCCGCCUGUGUUUAAAAUAGGGAUCAGAGAAACUAUGCUGAACUUGCUAAGCAACAUCCCUCAAAUAGUCAGACACCUUAGCCCAUCACCCAUGCCAAGUAUAUAAGAGGUGAGAGGAACAUUCAGGAGUCACUGAGAGAGUAUAGAUUUUUGGAGAGAAUGGCCAGAGGGCCAUGCAAUCUCCCAGCCCUGGGAGGAGGGAAAAAAUAUGUUUCCUACCCACAAAAUAAGUGGGAGAAAUUUAACCCAAUCAUCUGGGGAACUCGAGCUGGAUGGAGUACACAUAGCACUGGAGCCAGCAUCUAGCUCUCAAAUGGAGAUCAGUGAAAGUCAGAAACCAAGCAGGAGUCAACUGAACAUAUGAAUUUUGAGUGAGAGCCAACACACAUGUGUUCCUGUAGGCCACAGUGACCCAGGGAGAUCCCCAGGUAAUGGGGUGAAUUGAUUUCAAAAGGAUUCAGUAGACACCUUUGAACUACCAGGAUAUAGAAGCUAAAGGAGAGUCUAAAUCAUCAGGAAAGAAUGACCUUUCUACUAUGCCUGUGGUUAUGCUACCAACAAAGACACAGAUUCAUUUAU
rnacentral:lncRNA from 1 species